rnacentral:rRNA from 1 species
AAUAAACGCUGGCGGCGUGCCUAACACAUGCAAGUCGAGCGAGAAAGCCCGCAAGGGUGAGUAAAGCGGCGCACGGGUGCGUAACACGUGGGUAAUCUGCCCUGGAGCCCGGAAUAACUCGCCGAAAGGCGUGCUAAUGCCGGAUAAGACCACGGGAACUUCGGUUCCUGCGGGAAAAGGUGGCCUCUGUAUACAAGCUAUCUCUUCAGGAUGAGCCCGCGGCCCAUCAGCUAGUUGGCGGGGUAAUGGCCCACCAAGGCUACGGCGGGUAGCUGGUCUAAGAGGACGAUCAGCCACACUGGAACUGAGACACGGUACAGACUCCUACGGGAGGCAGCAGUGGGGAAUCUUGCGCAAUGGGCGAAAGCCUGACGCAGCAACGCCGCGUGUGUGAUGAAGGUCUUCGGAUCGUAAAGCACUGUCGGGAGGGACGAAUAAGGUGCCGGCUAACACUCGGCGCCGAUGACGGUACCUCCAAAGGAAGCACCGGCUAACUCUGUGCCAGCAGCCGCGGUAAUAC